rnacentral:rRNA from 1 species
CCUACGGGAGGCAGCAGUGGGGAAUUUUCCGCAAUGGGCGAAAGCCUGACGGAGCAACGCCGCGUGAGGGAUGAAGGCCUCUGGGCCGUAAACCUCUUUUAUCAAGGAAGAAGAUCUGACGGUACUUGAUGAAUAAGCCACGGCUAAUUCCGUGCCAGCAGCCGCGGUAAUACGGGAGUGGCAAGCGUUAUCCGGAAUUAUUGGGCGUAAAGCGUCCGCAGGCGGUCUUGUAAGUCUGUCGUUAAAGCGUGGAGCUCAACUCCAUUUCGGCGGUGGAAACUACAAGACUAGAGUGUGGUAGGGGCAGAGGGAAUUCCCGGUGUAGCGGUGAAAUGCGUAGAUAUCGGGAAGAACACCAGUGGCGAAGGCGCUCUGCUGGGCCAUAACUGACGCUCAUGGACGAAAGCUAGGGGAGCGAAAGGGAUUAGAUACCCCUGUAGUCCUAGCCGUAAACGAUGAACACUAGGUGUCGGGGGAAUCGACCCCCUCGGUGUCGUAGCUAACGCGUUAAGUGUUCCGCCUGGGGAGUACGCACGCAAGUGUGAAACUCAAAUGAAUUGACGG